CAUGGCUCCUCUUAGGGCUGGCGGAGCAGCUCCGCCGGAUUAGUGCUUAGUCAUGUCAAUCGGCACUGCUCAGAGGGACGUGCAGCUGGCGGCAAGCCCUGGGACGGUGGCCUCCAGCCAGGGACAUGGUUUGGCCCCAGAACAUCACUGAGCGAUUUGUGACUCCUUCGAACUGCUGAGAGGCAGGUGCAUCGAGAGCAUGGGAAGGUGAGGGGGACAGUGCCAGGUGGCUGGAACAAGACACACAACACGAGGAGGUGACACAGAGAGCACGGCCCAGGGAGAAGAGGUGACUCAUCAGGACACACUGUGGGUUACAAAACAGAGCAGGCUGCUGCCAGCCGCGUGCUCACAAUUACCUUUUUCGCUUCCUUCCCUGCCCUUCCACUCCCUGUUCCCUGCCUGCUGAGAACAUUCUGUUCUUGUUGAACCUCUCAAUGAACAGGGAAACUUCUUCUUCUCUGGCAGACUGAGGGCUUCGGCUGCCUGGGAUCAUCAGUUCCGGGCUGGGACCGCACACAGGACCCAAGUGGGCCGGACUAAAGGGCACACCUGAGCCACCUCGCAGCCGGGGCUCUCGGUCAAGCUCAACCCUGGGCUUAGUCCCAGGCCUCCAUAAGCGGCGCUGCCAGCUCUGCAGAUUGGUGUCCCUGAGCCCUCGGGCACAGCCUGGCCCUCCACCUCACUGGCUACCCCAGCCCAGCUGCCCGGCGCCGACACCAUGAGUUGCUCGCUAGGCAGUGGCAACUGCCCAUGGGGUGGGAUCUCAGUGCCCUUGUUGGGAGGAAAAACGGAAACGCUGUGAGGUGAAAGGGCUUGUGGCUACCGCUUACUCUGAAACUCCCUUGAAUCAAUUUAUUAAGGGUUGGGGAAGGAGGGAGAGGGAGAAAGCCAAUGCGGUAAAAUAUUAACAUUUUAAGGAGGCUGAGUGACUCAUACUGGAAAUUUUUCGUGCUACCUUUAAAACUUUUCUGUAA